AGGGUACCCGGCCCCGCCCUGCCGGCUGGGAGCCUCCCAGCCGCGAUCCUCCGGGGCGGGACUUCCGGCUUCCCUGCUCCCACAAAAUGACGCCAAAUUCCAGCGAAACAGCUGAUGCCAGCCAGCUUGAAGACCCCUGCCACAGAAGAAGGGAAUCAGCAUGAGAAUACAGCUUCUUCAUCUCGCUGUCCCAUGACUUCGCCCUGUACUCUUCAGCCAAUUAAUGAUCUCCACACUUGGGACCACUCUAAAACCCUUAAGAACCUGAGACUCAAAGUCCUCCUGGAGACGAAUUUGAGGUUUCCUCCUAUCUGUGUUUGGUGGCCCUAUGAUUAAACCUCUUUCUCUUCUGCAACCUGGUGUCCCAGUGUAUUAACUUGCCAUGGGCAUCAGACAACAAACCUAUAUAUAGUAUCCCAAAUAUGGUGCUCCACUUUGAAACCUGAAGAAAUCCUGCAAUUGAGUUAGCCUUUUGAAAUAAAAAUUAUUUCAAAUUUUAAAAUAUUUAUAUAUGUUUCCACUUAAGAUAUCUACAAGCAUUUGUUUACAACCUUUUAUCUUGCUUUGCAUCUUAAACAUUUCUGUAUGGCAAUUUCCGUGUCUUCCUAUCAUCUCGGCCAUCUUAGUGCAAAGAUACAAAAUUGUGUGGCUUAUUAAGAAAAAUUACAGUAAGCUAAGGGUAGGUUAAAGGAUCUGAAACUUAGCAGGAAAAAUGAGCAGAAAUUAAAGCUAUAAAAGGCAUGGAUCCUGCUCCAGUUCUCUUUGCUUCUCCUUUGUUCUCUGUCUUCCUCACUUUUAACUGCCUUCUUUGUUUCCCUUGAACCUGACUACUUAAAAAAAAAAUUGAAGAUCUAAAUUAUCUCAAGGCUAAAAGGAUUUUUGUUUAGGAAGUAUGAAGAUUAAUUCAAUUAAAUAAAUACUUAUUGAGCAUUGACUAUCAGGGGAAUACUGGAAGAUAGGCCUGCAGAGGUAAGUUACGGUCAACCUGUAGGAGGUUCCUUGGGUUAGUUUGAACCUUAUCCUUUGGCCACAGUAAAACAUGUAACUUUUCUUUCCCCACAGGAACAUGUCAGAAUGAUCACACUAUUUGUGGGUGUGUAAUCUGGAAGCUGUACCAUGAUUAGUUGAAAGAGAGACUGAAGGCAAGAAAAACAGUGUGGUGACUUGGAGAAGAACCAAGACAUAAGGAAAUGAAGACCUACUCUUGGGUGAUGACAGUAAAAAUAAUGGAAUAGGCCUGAGAGACAGGAAAAGGGAGAACUGAUGAGACUCAGUUACUGAUAGGGCUAAAGAGGAGGAAGGACAGGGCAAGGUGGCUCACGCCUGUAAUCCCAGCACUUUGGGAGGCAAGGCAGGAAGAUCACUUGAGCCCAGGAA
rnacentral:lncRNA from 1 species